rnacentral:misc_RNA from 1 species
GUAAACAGGAAAUGCAGAGCCAUAGAAUCAGCCAAUCCCCUAAAUACAAUCUUCCAGUAGGCAGUCAUUCUCAUCUUCAAGUCAAAAGCUUGGUGCAGAACAUUCUGAUAUGCUCUGAUAUCCCCAACUUCAACCACUCCAAUACCUUCAAUCUCUGCGCUAGAAUACCCUUGUGUCAGGGUUGUAUAUCUGAAUGUAUCCUGUUUCUCCAUAAGCUUGUUCCAUUCACUCAUGUAGUCAGGAUUGCAAGUGUAAUCUGUCAUCUUCUC